rnacentral:rRNA from 1 species
UACGGAGGGUGCAAGCGUUAUCCGGAUUCACUGGGUUUAAAGGGUGCGUAGGCGGGCAGGUAAGUCCGUGGUGAAAUCUCUGAGCUUAACUCAGAAACUGCCAUGGAUACUAUUUGUCUUGAAUAUUGUGGAGGUAAGCGGAAUAUGUCAUGUAGCGGUGAAAUGCUUAGAUAUGACAUAGAACACCAAUUGCGAAGGCAGCUGGCUACACGAAUAUUGACACUGAUGCACGAAAGCGUGGGGAUCAAACAGG